GACUUUAUGAGGCCUUAGGCGAAACUCAAACAGGAGGCCCCACUAACAAAAAAGUGUCACAUAUACACAUCGAUGCACAGUUUACCUGUGUAUGUGCCUGAGAGUGUGUCUGACACAGAGUAUCCUUGUGUGUAAAUGUAUUUCUCUGUGAGCAUGUUUGCGUUUUUGUCUGAGACCCUAUGUGUAUGGGGUAGCUGCUUGAAGUGUGUCGUGUGUAUGGGGGGGUGAUGGUGAGAGGCGGGUGACGGUGAGUAGGGGGUGAUGGUGAGAGGGAGAGGGGGUGAUGGUAAUGUGAGAGUGAGAGGGGGGGGUAAUGUGAGAAGGAGGGGGGUUGAUGGUGAGGGAGGGUGAUGCUGAGGCCUUAGGCGGCCUGCCUAAACCGCCUAAUUAGAGAGCCGCCUCUGGGCUCACUCA